AAAUUUCCAUUCAGCCAAAGGUGUACUUACAGAUUAUAGAUUCCUAUACGACUCUCAGUAAAAAUUUAUCCGCACUCCAGAUAGUUAAAACUUCUGUCGACCGUAUUGAUCCAUCUGCACUCUUCGUAUGACGUCAAUAUCUGUUCAGUGCUGCUGCGCAGGUUUCUUUGUGUUACGUCAAUUCGUUUGUGACCGUUGCGCGAGUAAUGGCGCUUUGCAAUGGUGAUUUGCAGGAAAACAGUGCAGGAUGCUGUGAUUCGUUUCUUGUGGUCGGAGGUUAUGUUUGAUGCCUAUAUUUAUCAAAGAUUUAAUGCACAUUAUGGAGAAAGUGUUUUGUCACGAAGUGUGUUUGAAUGGGCACAAAAGUUCAAAGAAGAUCGCACGAGUGUUAUGAAAAAACAGCUGGACGCCCGUCCACAUCCACGAUGACAACAUUGAACGUGCUCAUGAACUUAUGCUCUAUGGAAUAGACGAGUGACACUGGAUAAUGUGGCAAAUCAUUUGCAAAUCAGCCACGGCUCUGCUUAUGCAAUAGUGCACGACAGAUUUGGAUUUUAAAAAGUUUGUGCGAGAUGGAUGCCGAAAAAGCUGAUGAAAAGGUGAAGACGACGAUGCAUUCGUGGUUCGCAGCUCAGCCCAAAACAUUUUUUAAUGAGAAAAUACAAAGGUCCUUCGGCAAAUGGACAAAGUGUAUACAGAAAUCGAGUGAUUAUGUCAAAAAAUGAUGUAUGUCUUUUUUGACAAUUGCUUAAAAUAAAUUCUACACCGACAGAGCGGGCUGUUAAUCUAGAGGCUGGAGUACAAAGAAGUGGCACAAUGAUGUGGGCUGAUGACAUUUAUAAUUAUCAAGGAAUCACCCCUACAUUCGCUCAGAAUUUUAAUGAAACUGUCCCUUGGGAAGGAAGAACUGAUACCUUGAUAUCACGGUUUGUACAUCCUAUAUAUACGACAAAUUUUAGAACAUUAUAUAACGAAGAACCAGAUCGUCGUGGCCAUGUGAUGUGAAUAAAAGGACUUGAAUUUGAUGAUAUUUUUAUAAUGUUAGAUAACAUAACUAAGUAUCUUCACAGUAAGAUAGGAUGACAUGGUUUACAUGAUCUUAAUGUUG